rnacentral:rRNA from 1 species
AAUGAACGCUGGCGGCGCGCCUAAUACAUGCAAGUCGAGCGAGAAGACGUAGCAAUACGUUUGUAAAGCGGCGAACGGGUGAGGAAUACAUGGGUAACCUACCCUAGAGUGGGGAAUAACUAGCCGAAAGGUUAGCUAAUACCGCGUACGCUCCUUGGACUUCGGUUCAGGGAGGAAAGCGAUACCGAGGGUAUCGCGCUCUUGGAUGGGCUCAUGUCCUAUCAGCUUGNGGUGAGGUAACGGCUCACCAAGGCUUCGACGGGUAGCUGGUCUGAGAGGACGAUCAGCCACACUGGCACUGCGACACGGGCCAGACUCCUACGGGGAGGCAGCAGUAAGGAAUAUUGCGCAAUGGGGACGAAAGCCUGACGCAGCGACGCCGCGGUGGGGGAUGAAGGUCUUCGGAUU